GGGAAUCAGAGAUAAGACACAAGGCCUGACAGACUGUGCAAUGCAGACAACAGGCCAGAUCCAACGCUGGUGUGUGCAAACACAACUCCUCAAGUCAAUAGAGCUCCACCAGGUAAGGAGUGGAAUUUGAAUGGAAGAACAUGGGGAAACAGUGCCUCUUGUGUACGUUUUUUUAAAAAAAGAAAAGAUCAAUAAAUGAAUAAGACAGAAUGAAUAGGUUGUUCCUGUUGUGAGAUCUUAACUCCGAAACCAUCACCAGAAAUGCUAUCCCAGAGACGUCAAUGGGUGAAAAUCACUUAAGAAGGACUUUGUCAGGGGAAGAGAAUUAAAAAGGUAUCUCUAUGAUGGACGAUAUGGACAGGAAAAACAAGGAUGGAUGAAAGAAACACUUGACCACCUCCCAGGACUGAAUUCAACUGGCUAGCAGUCCAUUGGAAACUGAGGAUGAAAGCAUGAAGGUUAGAUCUUAGAGGGAGGCAGUUCUUCAUGCACAGCUUUUGUCAAUCCUGAUUUUUGUUUUAAAAAAUAAAAACAUGGAAAACCAAGAUCAUAUG